UUACGGCCAUAUCACGUUGAAACACCGGUUUCCGUACGAUCACCGAUGUUAAGCAACGUCCAGCCUGAUCAGUAUCUAGAUGGGGUGACCGCUUGGAAAUACCAAGUGUUGUAA